rnacentral:lncRNA from 1 species
CUGAGGAAAAGGCUCUGGGAACGCAGCCAGACUCCCCCACAGCUCAGACGGCUGUAAAGAAAUAUUCCUGCCAGAUGUUCAGAGGCGGAGGCCAGCAUGAGGUACAGGCGAUGCUGCCGGAAACGUGUGUUUUCCUAUCUAGGAGUCAGUCUGUCGCAGACCGAUUCCUGGAUCGCCGAGGUCGCCCACUCUCCCCAGAAGCCUGCUCCCUCCCGA